rnacentral:rRNA from 1 species
GACGAACGCUGGCGGCGUGCUUAACACAUGCAAGUCGAACGGAAAGGCCCUGCUUUUGUGGGGUGCUCGAGUGGCGAACGGGUGAGUAACACGUGAGUAACCUGCCCUUGACUUUGGGAUAACUUCAGGAAACUGGGGCUAAUACCGGAUAGGAGCUCCUGCUGCAUGGUGGGGGUUGGAAAGUUUCGGCGGUUGGGGAUGGGCUCGCGGCUUAUCAGCUUGUUGGUGGGGUAGUGGCUUACCAAGGCUUUGACGGGUAGCCGGCCUGAGAGGGUGACCGGCCACAUUGGGACUGAGAUACGGCCCAGACUCCUACGGGAGGCAGCGGUGGGGAAUAUUGCACAAUGGGAGGAAGCCUGAUGCAGCAACGCCGCGUGCGGGAUGACGGCCUUCGGGUUGUAAACCGCUUUCGCCUGUGACGAAGCGUGAGUGACGGUAAUGGGUAAAGAAGCACCGGCUAACUACGUG